rnacentral:rRNA from 1 species
CGCCCUUCCAGAGGGGGACAACAGUUGGAAACGACUGCUAAUACCGCAUACGAUCUAACCUCGGCAUCGAGGAUAGAUGAAAGGUGGCCUCUACAUGUAAGCUAUCACUGAAGGAGGGGAUUGCGUCUGAUUAGCUAGUUGGAGGGGUAACGGCCCACCAAGGCGAUGAUCAGUAGCCGGUCUGAGAGGAUGAACGGCCACAUUGGGACUGAGACACGGCCCAG